AGUGAACGCUGGCGGUAGGCCUAACACAUGCAAGUCGAACGGCAGCACAGUAAGAGCUUGCUCUUACGGGUGGCGAGUGGCGGACGGGUGAGGAAUACAUCGGAAUCUACUUUUUCGUGGGGGAUAACGUAGGGAAACUUACGCUAAUACCGCAUACGACCUACGGGUGAAAGCAGGGGAUCUUCGGACCUUGCGCGACUGAAUGAGCCGAUGUCGGAUUAGCUAGUUGGCGGGGUAAAGGCCCACCAAGGCGACGAUCCGUAGCUGGUCUGAGAGGAUGAUCAGCCACGCUGGAACUGAGACACGGUCCAGACUCCUACGGGAGGCAGCAGUGGGGAAUAUUGGACAAUGGGCGCAAGCCUGAUCCAGCCAUACCGCGUGGGUGAAGAAGGCCUUCGGGUUGUAAAGCCCUUUUGUUGGGAAAGAAAAGCAGCAGGUUAAUACCCCGCUGUUCUGACGGUACCCAAAGAAUAAGCACCGGCUAACUUCGUG
rnacentral:rRNA from 1 species